rnacentral:rRNA from 1 species
GUCUCAGAGAGUUUGAUUAUGGCUCAGGAUGAACGCUAGCGAUAGGCCUAACACAUGCAAGUCGAGGGGCAUCACAUGAAGUAGCAAUACGGAUGGUGGCGACCGGCGCACGGGUGAGUAACACGUAUGCAACCUGCCUUCAACAAGGGGAUAACCCGUUGAAAGACGGACUAAUACCCUAUAACACAGGGGUCCCGCAUGGGAAUAUUUGUUAAAGGACAACCGGUUGAAGAUGGGCAUGCGUUCCAUUAGCUAGUUGGCGGGGUAACGGCCCACCAAGGCAACGAUGGAUAGGGGAACUGAGAGGUUUAUCCCCCACACUGGUACUGAGACACGGACCAGACUCCUACGGGAGGCAGCAGUGAGGAAUAUUGGUCAAUGGGCGCAAGCCUGAACCAGCCCACGUCGCGUGAAGGAAGACGGCCCUACGGGUUGUAAACUUCUUUUGCAAGGGAAUAAAGUGGGCCACGUGUGGCCUUUUGCAAGUACCUUGCGAAUAAGGAUCGGCUAACUCCGUGCCAGCCGCAGC